rnacentral:tRNA from 1 species
GAGGAUGUGGCUUAGGGUUACAGCUUCCUGCUUGGCAAGCACAAGGCCCUGAGUUCAAUUCCCAGUGCCCCCC